GGCCCAAAUUUAAAGUAGAGUAGAUUAGAAGGAGCAUCUGACCCUACUUAACUACUUUACUUUGAGUUUAUGCUC
rnacentral:pre_miRNA from 1 species